rnacentral:rRNA from 1 species
GACGAACGCUGGCGGCGUGCCUAAUACAUGCAAGUCGAGCGGAUUGAUGGGAGCUUGCUCCCUGAUAUCAGCGGCGGACGGGUGAGUAACACGUGGGCAACCUGCCUAUAAGACUGGGAUAACUUCGGGAAACCGGAGCUAAUACCGGAUAAUCACUUUCCUCUCAUGAGGAAAGGCUGAAAGAUGGUUUACGCUAUCACUUAUAGAUGGGCCCGCGGCGCAUUAGCUAGUUGGUGAGGUAACGGCUCACAAAGGCAACGAUGCGUAACCGACCGGAGGGCGUGAUCGGCCACACGGGGAGUACGACACGGCCCAGACUCCUACGGGAGGCAGCAGUAGGGAAUCUUCCGCAAUGGACGAAAGUCGGACGGAGCAACGCCGCGUGAGUGAUGAAGGUUUUCGGAUCGUAAAACUCUGUUGUUAGGGAAGAACAAGUACGAGAGUAACUGCUCGUACCUUGACGGUACCUAACCAGAAAGCCACGGCUAACUACGUGCCAGCCGCCGCCGUAA